CGUUGAAAUUUGAUGUGAAGUGGGCCCCACACCUAAUUCCCAUUUUUUUCAAAAAAUGGAGAUCCCUCCCCUUAAGCUCUCUGCAUAUAUAAAUACUAUAAAAUCCGUACAAAACAAUAAUAACCCCCUGUUCAAAACCUCUAUAUAUAAAACAUCAUACUACAUAUAUACGUACAUAGAUAAAUACUAUAAAAUCCGUACAAAACAACAUGUAUCUCAUAUCCCAUAAAUCAUGUAGUUCCAAAUUCGUAAAUAACCAUCAUUAUAAAGCAGUAUCAAACUCAUAAUAAUACAAAUCAACAUUUUACACCAACGGUAAUGCAAACCACAUGCCUAAGUCGGGACUCAAACCCAAAUCAUAUGUACCUCGCCGGAACUCUAACCCGAAAUGUUGGGACUUUCACCUAGAAUAUGGAUAAGUUAGGACUUCAACCCACCCCGGGACGCUAACCCAGUUAUAAAUGGAGUUGGGACUCUAACCCAACCUUGGGACUUUAACCCAUAAUGAAUUUUAUGACAAUAAUGUACUCUACGGUUGUAGGAAAAAGGUACCAUGACAUGAGUGUAUGCAUACCAAAUGGUGUAUAAGAAAAUCAAAUGGGUAGAAAAUGCAUGAUUAUGCCUAUUAGUGAAACCAUUAUCUCAUAAAACCAAAUUCUCGCAAUAGUUUGCAUAUUCGAAAAUAAAACCACAAUCCUCAAUCAAAUAUCAAUGAUAAUCACCAGUAAACCACAUAUAGGCAUGAUCACAAGUAUAGCCAAAACCAAUCGAAAUCAUUUGUAAAUAUAUAGAUAUAUAAGAAAGCCAUUGUAACAAAACAAAGUCCACUCACAGGAACUCCGUUUGUCCUAAUUGUAAAGUAAGGUGUAAUUUGUUAUGAUUUGGAACUAAUCAAAUUUUUGUUCAAUGCCCGUAGAAAUUUCCAGUGUGCACCACUUUAUUUUUAUUUUAUUUAUUAACAAAGUCAACUUUCAUUAUGAUAAAAACUAGUACAAGGUCCAAAAAGGAUCGGGAAAAUAAUUAUAGGAAAAGUAAAGGGCCCAAGCAAAAUGAGAGCAUCAACCCAAGAGACAACGGGAGGCCCACACAAGCUUAGGUCCGAAGGCAACAAAAAACAUACAAUAAAAAUCCCUAAUCUCCAGUAGCAAAGACCACAUCGUCACCGCCGUCACGUCCUUGGAGGAAGCCAAACUCUAAACCGAGAAAGUAGACACCAUAUCCAAGUCCCCUUCAUGAACCCCUGCAAAUAUGUACAAAGUAACAUACGGGUAGAGAGUGAGGCUAAGGGGGUAUGUAAAAUACCCAACACUUGGCCUCGAUGGGGAUCCGGCAUAGGCAUGCCGAUUGGGGGAGGGAAAGUGAAGGAGGGUAGUAGAUUUGGUGUCCAAUUCCUUAUCGAAGCCCGCCUAUCCGAGUACAUGGUGGGAUGGGGAUGGAGUAUCACAGCUAAGAAAGAGGGAGGACAGAAAAUAGAAAGACAGAAAGCAGUAAAAGUAGGAAAAAGAUGCCGGAUAAGGGGCAUGAAGCCCAGAUCUGAGACAAGCUCAGUGGAUAGUUGAGACCCAGCUCAAGAAAAAUUAAGCUAAACUCAGAGAGAAUCGGAAAUAAAAUGAAAGGAGGAAAAUGGAAAUAGGAGAUAAAGAGAUCGACGCAGGGAGGGGGAUGGAGCAAGAGGAAGUGAGAGGGGAGGAAAAAGAAGAAAAGGAAAAUGAGGGAAGGAGGGAAGGAGAGAAGGAGGAGGGAAAAAGGAAACUGGAAAGAGGAUCAGGUAGCGGGUU
rnacentral:lncRNA from 1 species